UUUUUUUUUUUUUUUUUUUUUUUUUUUAAAGAAAAAUUAGCACAUCCUCCGGCUGUGGGCCCUUCUAGACACUAACCUUCAUGCCCUAAGGACAGGAGGGAAGCCUGAGUUCAGUGGUCCUUUACCAUUGGACUUUGACUCUGAGGUGUCAUUAGAGUGGGGAUUCAACCAAUACAAUCUAGCUUCCUCCAGACCUUGAGGCACUAUAAGCAGUCAUUCAUGGAUGGUGUCUUACUCCAUAGCAACCUGAACUGGGUGGAUUAGUGGCAAGGCUGGGGUAAAAUUAGGAGACAGAAGUCCUUAUUUGUCAGUUUUAUUUUGUCACUAGACCACAGCAUCUGAACUCCUCCAUUGCUGAAUAAGUAUUUCUCCUGCAUUUUGGGAUAUAUGUAUGGUAGACAUUUCUUUUUUAAAGACACCGAGAUAAAUGUUUUCCUGCCUUGGUUACCUUUCCUUUCCCCUUUAAAAGGAAUUAGCUAUAGAACUGCUUUGUAAAGAUGCUUCUUGAUAUUUUACUUUUGUUCCUUUCCCCCCACCAUUCCCAUUUCCCCUUUUUUCUAGAAGGCCUAACCCUUCUCUCCACAGCCCCCUCCCACUCAUCCUAGGCUCCCUUCCUCUCCAUCAAGGUCUUCAUUAGCUUAUGAUAUUUGCUGCCGAGAUGUUAUAACAAGGACUCAUUCAUGUAUAUAAGCUAUUUCUUGAUCCAUUUAAAAGGAAUUGUACAUUGUGUAGAAAAAAAAAAAACAUGAAAAAGAGAAAAAAAAAAAGCCCUAGCCAUGGAUAUUGUGAAACUGUGUUAUGUCAUUUUGUAAUGUGCCCGUUUGUGUAUGAUCCGUGCAAAAGGGUUUCUGGGGAAGGGGAGGGUGGCGGGAGGCAGGACUGUGGAGGGUGGGGACAGGAGUGGGCCCGGCCCAGCACACUGAGACUGGCAGCUGCUCCAACCCCAUCCCUCCGUAAAGAUGCCACCUCCCCCACCACCCACUCCUAUUUUGUGCCUUGCCCUCCCCGCCCUGGAGUAAUCUCUCCAGGUCACCAGCACUGCCUUGGCAGAGCCCACUCCCUACCCUAACCUGCCCACUCUUCCUACCCC
rnacentral:lncRNA from 1 species